UACGUAGGGGGCAAGCGUUGUCCGGAAUCAUUGGGCGUAAAGAGCGUGUAGGCGGCUUGGUAAGUCCGCUGUGAAAGUCCAGGGCUCAACCCUGGAAUGCCGGUGGAAACUGUCAAGCUUGAGUCCGGAAGAGGCGAGUGGAAUUCCUGGUGUAGCGGUGAAAUGCGCAGAUAUCAGGAGGAACACCGAUGGCGAAGGCAGGUCUCUGGGCCAUUACUGACACUGAGAAGCGAAAGCAUGGGGAGCGAACAGG
rnacentral:rRNA from 1 species